rnacentral:lncRNA from 1 species
AUGAACCCGAUGGGGGUAUUGAUGACAUAGAAAGUAGUGUUAUUGUUAAAGAACAAACGAGUGGCAUCCAAAUGUUAAAUGAUGACGAGUGGCAUUAAUGUAGUGUAAAUGACACUAGAGGUCGAUGGACCUAGGGAUAGGCGGAUCCCUUAGAAAAUGCCUUGUGAACAAUGAAUUUAGAAAAGCUAGAUAGCAUUGCAUGAAUGUCGG